rnacentral:rRNA from 1 species
GACGAACGCUGGCGGCGUGCUUAACACAUGCAAGUCGAACGCGCCUGUCCUCUGGGUUUCUGGGGGGUGGGUGAGUGGCGAACGGGUGAGUAACACGUGAGUAACCUGCCCCCUUCUUCGGGAUAACGGUCUGAAAGGGCUGCUAAUACCGGGUAUUCACUGGUCUCCGCAUGGGGUCUGGUGGAAAGGUUUUUUUCUGGUGGGGGAUGGGCUCGCGGCCUAUCAGCUUGUUGGUGGGGUGAUGGCCCACCAAGGCUUUGACGGGUAGCCGGCCUGAGAGGGUGACCGGUCACGUUGGGACUGAGAUACGGCCCAGACUCCUACGGGAGGCAGCAGUGGGGAAUAUUGCACAAUGGGCGCAAGCCUGAUGCAGCGACGCCGCGUGAGGGAUGGAGGCCUUCGGGUUGUGAACCUCUUUCGCCCGUGGUCAAGCCGCGACGUGGGUCGUGGUGAGGGGAGUGGGUAAAGAAGCGCCGGCUAACUACGU